rfam:Ovis aries breed Texel chromosome 8, whole genome shotgun sequence.
CACUAGGUUUUUAUAAAAACCAUCACUCAUUUUAUUAAACAUAUUU